UACAGAGGUGGCAAGCGUUAUUCGGAAUUAUUGGGCGUAAAGGGCGCGUAGGCGGCUUUGCAAGUGACGGGUGAAAUCCCUCGGCUUAACCGAGGAACUGCCUGUCAGACUGCAUGGCUUGAGACCAGGAGAGGUGAGUGGAAUUCCCAGUGUAGCGGUGAAAUGCGUAGAUAUUGGGAGGAACACCAGUGGCGAAGGCGGCUCACUGGACUGGUACUGACGCUGAGGCGCGAAAGCGUGGGGAGCAAACAGG
rnacentral:rRNA from 1 species